UGUAGGACACCGGGCUUGGUGCGGCGGGUCGGACUGUUAAUCCGAAAUAGGUGGGAUCGUUCCCCACUCCUACAGCCA
rnacentral:tRNA from 1 species